rnacentral:rRNA from 1 species
UACGAAGGGGGCUAGCGUUGUUCGGAUUUACUGGGCGUAAAGCGCACGUAGGCGGAUUCUUAAGUCAGGGGUGAAAUCCCGGGGCUCAACCUCGGAACUGUCUUUGAUACUGGGGAUCUCGAGUUCGGGAGAGGUGAGUGGAAUUGCGAGUGUAGAGGUGAAAUUCGUAGAUAUUCGCAAGAACACCAGUGGCGAAGGCGGCUCACUGGCCCGAUACUGACGCUGAGGUGCGAAAGCGUGGGGAGCAAACAGG